rnacentral:tRNA from 1 species
GCCUUCGUGAUGUAACGGUUAGCACACUCGGCGCGUUGCACUUUAAUCUUAGCCAAAAGGCCGAGAAUGUAUUCGAGAGGUCCAGGUUCGAAUCCCGGCGAGGGCA